UCCCUGGCAUCUCACAGCUUCCUGGGUGCAGGGAAGACUGUGCAUGAAAGGCAGAGAUACAACUUACAGCACUGCCUCGUGGCCUCUGUGACUGAAUCAGAUGUUGAAUCACUGCGGAAAUACCCCAGGUAUGGUAUAGUUUGAACGAAGCCACUCACGUAUCCAUCUAAUUUCCGGAAGAUCUUGAUUGUGAAGGACUGUUUGUAGAUCCCAUCAGAGGAGCCCAGGUAAAUGAACAGUGACUGAUUCAAUUAACUGAUAAGAAUCUAUUAGCACGGAUCCAAACCAACUUGUUUGAACACAGAGCAUUAUGUACA